rnacentral:rRNA from 1 species
GUCGAGCGAGAUGUUAGCGCAUGAACCUUCGGGGGAUUAUGCUAACGGACAGCGGCGGACGGGUGAGUAACGCGUAGGCAACCUGCCCCUGACAGAGGGAUAGCCAUUGGAAACGAUGAUUAAAACCUCAUGACACCGUAGAAGCACAUGCUUCAUCGGUCAAAGAUUUAUCGGUCAGGGAUGGGCCUGCGUCUGAUUAACUAGUUGGUGAGGUAACGGCUCACCAAGGUGACGAUCAGUAGCCGACCUGAGAGGGUGAUCGGCCACAUUGGAACUGAGACACGGUCCAAACUUCUACGGAAGGCAGCAGUAGGGAAUCUUGCACAAUGGGCGAAAGCCUGAUGCAGCAACGCCGCGUGAAGGAUGAAGGCCUUCGGGUUGUAAACUUCUGUUCUAAGGGAAGAAACAAAUGACGGUACCUUAGGAGCAAGCCCCGGCUAACUACGUGCCAGCAGCCGCGGUAAUACGUAGGGAGCAAGCGUUAUCCGGAAUUAUUGGGCGUAAAGAGUGCGUAGGUGGUUACCUAAGCGCAAGGUUUAAUUUAGAGGCUCAACCUCUACUUGCCUUGCGAACUGGGCUACUUGAGUGCAGGAGGGGAAAGCGGAAUUCCUAGUGUAGCGGUGAAAUGCGUAGAUAUUAGGAGGAACACCAGCGGCGAAGGCGGCUUUCUGGACUGUAACUGACACUGAGGCACGAAAGCGUGGGUAGCAAACAGG